rnacentral:rRNA from 1 species
GUGGGGAAUUUUGGACAAUGGGCGCAAGCCUGAUCUAGCCAUGCCGCGUGAGCGAUGAAGGCCUUAGGGUUGUAAAGCUCUUUCAGGGGGGAAGAUAAUGACGGUACCCCCAGAAGAAGCCCCGGCUAACUCCGUGCCAGCAGCCGCGGUAAUACGGAGGGGGCUAGCGUUGUUCGGAAUUACUGGGCGUAAAGCGCACGUAGGCGGACCAGAAAGUCAGGGGUGAAAUCCCGGGGCUCAACCCCGGAACUGCCUUUGAAACUCCUGGUCUUGAGGUCGAGAGAGGUGAGUGGAAUUCCGAGUGUAGAGGUGAAAUUCGUAGAUAUUCGGAGGAACACCAGUGGCGAAGGCGGCUCACUGGCUCGAUACUGACGCUGAGGUGCGAAAGCGUGGGGAGCAAACAGGAUUAGAUACCCUAGUAGUCC